rnacentral:ribozyme from 1 species
CGGCUCAGCGCCGGAACUGUUCACCUCGCUGAUGGGCGUGUUCUUCUCGGAGUCGGACGUGGGCUUUGGGACCAUUGUUGGCAGUGCUGUCUUCAACGUGCUCUUUGUCAUUGGGC